rnacentral:rRNA from 1 species
GUAGGAGCUUGCUCCUGCUGGAUUAGUGGCGAACGGGUGAGUAACACGUGAGCAAUCUGCCCCUGACUCUGGGAUAAGCGUUGGAAACGACGUCUAAUACCGGAUACGAACUGAGAUCGCAUGGUCAUCAGUUGGAAAGAACUUCGGUCAGGGAUGAGCUCGCGGCCUAUCAGCUAGUUGGUGAGGUAAUGGCCCACCAAGGCGACGACGGGUAGCCGGCCUGAGAGGGUGACCGGCCACACUGGGGCUGAGACACGGCCCAGACUCCUACGGGAGGCAGCAGUGGGGAAUAUUGCACAAUGGGCGAAAGCCUGAUGCAGCAACGCCGCGUGAGGGAUGAAGGCCUUCGGGUUGUAAACCUCUUUUAGCAGGGAAGAAGCGAAAGUGACGGUACCUGCAGAAAAAGCACCGGCUAACUACGUGCCAGCAGCCGCGGUAAUACGUAGGGUGCAAGCGUUGUCCGGAAUUAUUGGGCGUAAAGAGCUCGUAGGCGGUUUGUCGCGUCUGCUGUGAAAAUCCAAGGCUCAACCUUGGACCUGCAGUGGGUACGGGCAGACUAGAGUGCGGUAGGGGAGAUGGGAAUUCCUGGUGUAGCGGUGGAAUGCGCAGAUAUCAGGAGGAACACCAAUGGCGAAGGCACAUCUC